AAGACCAAAAAAAACACCAAAACUUGACUCUGUCCAGUCCCAAUUAGUUUUAACAAACGCGAGUGAGGAUGGAAAGAUACACGGCGAGGGUCAGAGAGGUCUGUGAAGGGAGAGACAGACAGAGAGAAGGAUGCGAGGGCCUGUUUGAAGACACAGCUGGGAAAAGAAUAAAAGAAAGAGUGAAGUUAGUCACUCACCGACUCUCUCUGCCUGCAUGCCCUGAUGGGGGUCUCUUGGGUGGUUGAUGAGAAAAAAAGAGGUGUGUCCUAACCAACUAUGAUCUGUCAAGCCCCCUUCACCUUUCCCAACCCAAGUGUCCCUCUACAGACGUCAGAGAGCAACUGAGUGUGUUGGCUCUAUGGGAAAAGCAAAAGGGGGGAGAGAGAGAAAGAAUUACACACUGCAGGAAGAUAAUCAUUGGGCAAUAAAGUGACGUCUCAGAAUGAUGCAGACACAAGCCUGUAAGAACACACGUGCACAGGAAGCCACACAUAAACACUGCUGGAUUAUACCUCUGGCAAAUUAUAUUUGGUCGAUUAAUGUGGUGUAUACAAGCCAAUAUGUACACUAGGUCUGUGUAAAAAUAUUGAUUUUCUGAUUAAUCUUCAUUUGAUCUCAAUUCUUAAAAUCCAAAGAUCAAUCUUUUCUUUGCCAGUGUUUCCUUUACUGCUUUUCAUUGCCGCACACCUUGCUGCUAAAUAUACAGACCCACUGCAAAAGAAGUCAUAUUUUAACAGAGUCUGAAUUAAAUAUGAGAUAAAAAGGGUGUUUACAUUUUUUUUCUAUUGAAUUAUUCUUGCAUGUUACAUGCAAUCGCACAUAGCAUGACCAGUGCAGUCUGAUUCACAUUUGAAUGACCCUUAUGAACUAGUGGAUCAAAAACAUACAGUGUUACCCAUGUAGUCUAGUCAAGUCACCUUUAUUUUUAUAGCGCUUUAUACAAUACUGAUUGUGUCAGUACAAAUAGCUCCUAUUAAUUGGUUUUGUGAAUCAAAAAAAAUUAAUAAAUAAAUUUAAAAAAAGCAUCACCGGGGUACUACGAUUCACGAUCAAAAAAGUCCUAUGAAUUGGUUCGUGUAAGUGAAUCAAAAAACAUACAGUGUUGCCAGUGUAGUCUGAUUCACGAUCAAAUGACUCUUACAAACUGAUUCUUUUUAGUGAACAAAAACAUACGGCUUUACCAGUGAAAUAGGAUUCACAAUCAA